rnacentral:rRNA from 1 species
ACCGGCAGCUCAAGUGGUGGCCAUUAUUAUUGGGCCUAAAGCGUUCGUAGCCGGUUUGAUAAGUCUCUGGUGAAAUCCCGCAGCUUAACUGUGGGACUUGCUGGAGAUACUAUCAGACUUGAGGUCGGGAGAGGUUAGGGGUACUCCCAGGGUAGGGGUGAAAUGCUAUAAUACGGGGAGGACCACCUGUGGCGAAGGCGCCUAACUGGAACGAACCUGACGCUGAGGAGCGAAAGUCAGGGGAGCAAACCG